CAAUAGCGUAUGUUAAAGUUGUUGCGGUUAAAAAGCUCGUAGUUGGAUUUCUGCCGAGGACGACCGGUCCGCCCUCUGGGUGAGCAUCUGGCUCGGCCUGGGCAUCUUCUUGGAGAACGUAUCUGCACUUGACUGUGUGGUGCGGUAUUCAGGACUUUUACUUUGAGGAAAUUAGAGUGUUUCAAGCAGGCACACGCCUUGAAUACAUUAGCAUGGAAUAAUAAGAUAGGACCUCGGUUCUAUUUUGUUGGUUUCUAGAUCUGAGGUAAUGAUUAAUAGGGAUAGUUGGGGGCAUUCGUAUUUAACUGUCAGAGGUGAAAUUCUUAGAUUUGUUGAAGAUGAACUAAUGCGAAAGCAUUUACCAAGAAUGUUUCCAUUAG
rnacentral:rRNA from 1 species